GACGAACGCUGGCGGCGUGCCUAAUACAUGCAAGUAGAACGCUGAAGAGAGGAGCUUGCUCUUCUUGGAUGAGUUGCGAACGGGUGAGUGACGCGUAGGUAACCUGCCUUGUAGCGGGGGAUAACUAUUGGAAACGAUAGCUAAUACCGCAUAACAAUGGAUGACACAUGUCAUUUAUUUGAAAGGGGCAAUUGCUCCACUACAAGAUGGACCUGCGUUGUAUUAGCUAGUAGGUGAGGUAAUGGCUCACCUAGGCGACGAUACAUAGCCGACCUGAGAGGGUGAUCGGCCACACUGGGACUGAGACACGGCCCAGACUCCUACGGGAGGCAGCAGUAGGGAAUCUUCGGCAAUGGGGGCAACCCUGACCGAGCAACGCCGCGUGAGUGAAGAAGGUUUUCGGAUCGUAAAGCUCUGUUGUAAGUCAAGAACGGGUGUGAGAGUGGAAAGUUCACACUGUGACGGUAGCUUACCAGAAAGGGACGGCUAACUACGUGCCAGCAGCCGCGGUAAUACGUAGGUCCCGAGCGUUGUCCGGAUUUAUUGGGCGUAAAGCGAGCGCAGGCGGUUUGAUAAGUCUGAAGUUAAAGGCUGUGGCUCAACCAUAGUUCGCUUUGGAAACUGUCAAACUUGAGUGCAGAAGGGGAGAGUGGAAUUCCAUGUGUAGCGGUGAAAUGCGUAGAUAUAUGGAGGAACACCGGUGGCGAAAGCGGCUCUCUGGUCUGUAGCUGACGCUGAGGCUCGAAAGCGUGGGGAGCGAACAGGAUUAGAUACCCUGGUAGUCCACGCCGUAAACGAUGAGUGCUAGGUGUUGGAUCCUUUCCGGGAUUCAGUGCCGCAGCUAACGCAUUAAGCACUCCGCCUGGGGAGUACGACCGCAAGGUUGAAACUCAAAGGAAUUGACGGGGGCCCGCACAAGCGGUGGAGCAUGUGGUUUAAUUCGAAGCAACGCGAAGAACCUUACCAGGUCUUGACAUCCCGAUGCUAUUUCUAGAGAUAGAAAGUUACUUCGGUACAUCGGUGACAGGUGGUGCAUGGUUGUCGUCAGCUCGUGUCGUGAGAUGUUGGGUUAAGUCCCGCAACGAGCGCAACCCCUAUUGUUAGUUGCCAUCAUUCAGUUGGGCACUCUAGCGAGACUGCCGGUAAUAAACCGGAGGAAGGUGGGGAUGACGUCAAAUCAUCAUGCCCCUUAUGACCUGGGCUACACACGUGCUACAAUGGUUGGUACAACGAGUUGCGAGUCGGUGACGGCGAGCUAAUCUCUUAAAGCCAAUCUCAGUUCGGAUUGUAGGCUGCAACUCGCCUACAUGAAGUCGGAAUCGCUAGUAAUCGCGGAUCAGCGCGCCGCGGUGAAUACGUUCCCGGGCCU
rnacentral:rRNA from 1 species